AGAGAAUGAUACAAAAGAUCUGUAUUUGUUUAAAAAGCAAAAAAAAAGAUCUAUUUUAUGGUUUCCAUUGGUGCAAAUCCAAUCAUUUUCUA
rnacentral:tRNA from 2 species